UACGUAGGUCCCGAGCGUUGUCCGGAUUUAUUGGGCGUAAAGCGAGCGCAGGUGGUUUAUUAAGUCUGGUGUAAAAGGCAGUGGCUCAACCAUUGUAUGCAUUGGAAACUGGUAGACUUGAGUGCAGGAGAGGAGAGUGGAAUUCCAUGUGUAGCGGUGAAAUGCGUAGAUAUAUGGAGGAACACCGGUGGCGAAAGCGGCUCUCUGGCCUGUAACUGACACUGAUGCUCGAAAGUGUGGGUAUCAAACAGG
rnacentral:rRNA from 1 species